GACGAACGCUGGCGGCGUGCCUAAUACAUGCAAGUAGAACGCUGAAGAGAGGAGCUUGCUCUUCUUGGAUGAGUUGCGAACGGGUGAGUAACGCGUAGGUAACCUGCCUUGUAGCGGGGGAUAACUAUUGGAAACGAUAGCUAAUACCGCAUAACAAUGGGUGACACAUGUCAUUUAUUUGAAAGGGGCAAUUGUUCCACUACAAGAUGGACCUGCGUUGUAUUAGCUAGUAGGUGAGGUAAUGGCUCACCUAGGCGACGAUACAUAGCCGACCUGAGAGGGUGAUCGGCCACACUGGGACUGAGACACGGCCCAGACUCCUACGGGAGGCAGCAGUAGGGAAUCUUCGGCAAUGGGGGCAACCCUGACCGAGCAACGCCGCGUGAGUGAAGAAGGUUUUCGGAUCGUAAAGCUCUGUUGUAAGUCAAGAACGGGUGUGAGAGUGGAAAGUUCACACUGUGACGGUAGCUUACCAGAAAGGGACGGCUAACUACGUG
rnacentral:rRNA from 1 species